CGGGGAGUCGGCCUCGGGGCUCUGCUCUCCUACCUCAGUCUGCCCUACCCUGGAAUGGGGAAAAUGCGGACAUGCCACUCAGUCCGGCCGCGAACAGUGCUCCAGAACUCAGAGAGUUUUCCAGACGGGUGGAGAUCGCGUUCCCUGCCCGCCGAGGUCCCAUCGCUUCCCUGCUGGGAAGACAAAUGAGGCGCUUUAGCCGUCUCCACGGCCAGCCCCUCCCUCAUAACCCGAGAUUCUUUGUGGGCUCUUAGUCCAUAGCUGCCUUUGAGGUGGUGUAGACCUUGCUAACCAGGACGGCCCAGUAGGCAGAGCUCAUUUUUAUUCCUGUCUGCAAUCGUGCAAAAACGCCUCUUAUGGAAAAGCCAGAGCGCCAGGAGUCAGCAAAACACACUAAAGAUUGGGCAGUCACUGGGGAGAACACUCAGCCCGCCUGCACCCAGGUGAAAUAUACAGCCUUGUUGCUCACACAAAGCCUGUUUGGUGGUUUCUUCACACGGAUGCAUGUGACAUUUGGUGCUGAAGACCCAGGACAGGAGGACUCCUUUGGGAGACCAGUGCCCUGUUGUCGCCCUCACUCCGUGAGGAGAUCCACCUAUGAUCUCAGGUCCUCAGACCAACCAGCCCAAGGAACAUCUUGCCAAUUUCAAAUCGGGUAAGUGGUCUUUUCACUCUUCUCCAGCCUUUCUUGCUACCCUUCAAUCUUCCUCUCUCACUACCCUUCAAUCUCCCUGUCCUUCCAAUUCCCGUUCUUUUUCCUCUCUAGUAGAGAUAAGGAGACACAUUUUAUCUGUGGACCCAAAACUCCAGCGUCAGUCACGGACUCGGGAAGACAGUCUUCCCUUGGUGUUUAAUCACUGUGGGGACGCCUGCCUGAUUAUUCACCCACACUCCAUUGGUGUCUGAUCACCACGGGGAUGCCUGCCUUGGUCAUUCACCCACAUUCCCUUGGUGACAAGUCAAUUGCGGGGACACCUGCUUUGGCUGCUCACCCACAUUGCAGCCCAGGGCUGCUCAAUGCCCCCCGCUGCCCCACCCGCCUUCUCCGUGCCUCUACCCUCUCUUUUCUCGGGUUUACCUCCUUCACUAUGGGCAACCUUCCACCCUCCAUUCCUCCUUCUUCUCCCUUAGCCUGUGUUCUCAAAAACUUAAAACCUCUUCAACUCACACCUGACCUAAAACCUAAGUGUCUUAUUUUCUUCUGCAACACCGCUUGGCCCCAAUACAAACUCGACAAUGAUUCCAAAUAGCCAGAAAACGGCACUUUCGAGUUCUCCAUCCUACAAGUUCUAGAUAAUUCUUGUCAUAAAAUGGGCAAAUGGUCUGAGGUGCCUGACGUCCAGGCAUUCUUUUACACAUUGGUCCCUCCCUAGUCUCUGCUCCCAAUGUGACUCAUCCCAAAUCUUUCUUCUUUCUCUCCUUUCUGUUCCUUCGGUCUCCACCCCAAGUUCCGAGUCCUCUGAAUCCUUCUUUUCUAUGGACUCAUCUGACCUCCCCCCUUCUCCCCAGGCUGCUCCUCGCCAGGCUGAGCCAGGUCCCAAUUCUCACUUAGCCUCUGCUCCCCCACCCUAUAAUCCUUUUAUCACCUCCCCUCCUCACACCUGGUCCAGCUUACAGUUUCGUUCCUCGACUAGCUCUCCCCGAUCUGCCCAACAAUUUCCUGUUAAAGAGAUGGCUGACUAUCCUGACUUCAUCAGAGCAGGCUGGUGCCUGGCCUUCCUGGAAUGAGUGGGUGUUCUGACAGGCCCCCAGUUUGUCCCAUCUGCACCGCCAAGAGGUCUCCGGGUGGCCAGAGGAGCAAAGUUGCCUUCCAAGUGCCUGUUGGUGCCUGGGAGAACACAGCAGGAGUGUCGUGCGGCCCACAGCGCAGUGCAUGGUGAUUCCAGGCGCUGAACAACUCCCCUUGACCCUUGGGCCUGCAUCUGACUCCCGGCUGCAGAAUCAGAAGCUGAGUCCAGGCAACCGCUCGGCCACUCCCGGUCACUCCUCUCUGGACACCCAGUUACUAAAGUCAGCAAAGAAGAUGCGGUAAUCACCGCCUGAUCUCCACAUGGUGAACACAACACUCUCACUAACACCUCCUUGACCAGUCAGUCUUCAGCACUGGGGGUGGACAGGCAGGUUUUCUGUGUUUACCAGAAUCGCACAGGCUAAGCACAAACAUGGAACCAGAGUUCCAGGUGAGGAAACCUCACUCGCAGAAGCCCAGGCUGCACCCCACCAGGUGAUGCAGUGCGCCUAGGCUGUGGGUGCUAGGAGCCAAGUGCUAGGGACUCGUCAUGAGUGGGAAUCCCCACGUUCCUGUCACUGCUGUCAAACAGAAGGUAAACAGUCUUACGAAUGUAAUUCCUUAGGAAGACUUGUACAAACUUUUAUUAGGAUAUCUAUUUAUUUAAUACUGAACUUUGGCCUACUUUGUGAUAAGACUAUAAACAAAUUGAGGAAAUCACUAUUUCUCACUUCGCUGCCUCAACACUUCACCACUAUUUUGUUUUGUUUUUCAUACUAAUAUAAGAAGAUAGGAGUGUCAGGCCUCUGAGUCCAAGCUAAGCCAUCAAAUCCCCUGUGACCUGCACGUGUACAUCCAGAUGACCUGAAGCAACUGAAGAUCCACAAAAGAAGUGAAAGUAGCCUUAACUGAUGACAUUCCACCAUUGUGAUUUGUUCCUGCCCCACGCUAACUGAUACCAUAUAUUCUUCCCCCGCCCUUGAGAAUGUACUUUGUACACCUAUCCCAAACCUAUAAGAACUAAUGAUAAUCCUACCACCCUUUGCUGACUCUCUUUUUGGACUCAGCCCGCCUGCACCCAGGUGAAAUAAACAGCCCUGUUGCU
rnacentral:lncRNA from 1 species